rnacentral:rRNA from 1 species
GAUGAACGCUGGCGGCGUGCCUAACACAUGCAAGUCGAACGAAGCACCUUACCUGAUUCUUCGGAUGAAAGUUUGGUGACUGAGUGGCGGACGGGUGAGUAACGCGUGGGUAACCUGCCCUGUACAGGGGGAUAACAGCUGGAAACGGCUGCUAAUACCGCAUAAGCGCACGAGGAGACAUCUCCUUGUGUGAAAAACUCCGGUGGUACAGGAUGGGCCCGCGUCUGAUUAGCUGGUUGGCAGGGUAACGGCCUACCAAGGCAACGAUCAGUAGCCGGUCUGAGAGGAUGAACGGCCACAUUGGAACUGAGACACGGUCCAAACUCCUACGGGAGGCAGCAGUGGGGAAUAUUGCACAAUGGGGGAAACCCUGAUGCAGCAACGCCGCGUGAGUGAAGAAGUAUUUCGGUAUGUAAAGCUCUAUCAGCAGGGAAGAUAAUGAUGGUACCUGACUAAGAAGCUCCGGCUAAAUACGUG